rnacentral:rRNA from 1 species
UUAGAGUUUGAUCCUGGCUCAGAUUGAACGCUGGCGGCGUGCUUAACACAUGCAAGUCGAGCGGCAGCGCGGGAGCAAUCCUGGCGGCGAGCGGCGAACGGGUGAGUAAUGCUUCGGAAUCUGCCUCGUAGUGGGGAAUAACCAGCCGAAAGGUUGGCUAAUGCCGCAUACGAACUACGGUUGAAAGCGGGGGAUCGCAAGACCUCGCGCUAUGAGAUGAGCCGAAGUCGGAUUAGCUAGUUGGUGAGGUAACGGCUCACCAAGGCGACAAUCCGUAGCUGGUCUGAGAGGACGACCAGCCACACUGGGACUGAGACACGGCCCAGACUCCUACGGGAGGCAGCAGUGGGGAAUAUUGGACAAUGGGGGAAACCCUGAUCCAGCGACGCCGCGUGUGUGAAGAAGGCCUGCGGGUUGUAAAGCACUUUUAGUGGGGAUGAAAAGCUCAGGGCUAAUACUCCUGGGUCUUGACCUAACCC